rnacentral:rRNA from 1 species
UACGUAGGUGGCAAGCGUUGUCCGGAUUUAUUGGGCGUAAAGCGAGCGCAGGCGGUUUCUUAAGUCUGAUGUGAAAGCCUUCGGCUCAACCGAAGAAGUGCAUCGGAAACUGGGAAACUUGAGUGCAGAAGAGGACAGUGGAAUUCCAUGUGUAGCGGUGAAAUGCGUAGAUAUAUGGAAGAACACCAGUGGCGAAGGCGGCUGUCUGGUCUGUAACUGACGCUGAGGCUCGAAAGCAUGGGUAGCAAACAGG